ensembl:lncRNA
UUUUAGGAAUGUGAGAGAGACGCUCCACGUAUUUAAUUGAGAUUGAAAUCAGUGGAAUAGCCGAUCAAAACAAGGUUUUUUCUUGUGCUUGGAAUAGAGAAAGAUGGUCAAAUGUCAGAAGAAGGGAUAAACGCCAGAGGAGGAGGGAACCUCCACAUUAAUCUCCCCACAAUGCCCUGCUUUCUCCUGUGUCAUGACUCUCCUGUGAAGAUCUGAAGGAUCAGUUUAUAGUGGGUCCGCUCUACAGUACACUCUCUCUCGGAGGGUGGGAGAGCGGGAAGUCGGCUGUUUUAUGACAGUUGUAAAUGCCAAAACACCUUUCCCCACUCUGCCAAAAUGAAAGUUGAGAAUCCCUUUGUUACCACAGAGAAAGACUUUGCAGUACGCUAACGUUAAAAGGUUGAAUAAUUGAACAGUAUUUCUGUAUUCCAAGCAGUUGGAGUGGUCCGUGGACACUUAAGGAACAGUCAUGUCGAGUUUGUUUCAUUUGGUGACCUCAGGAAGGACAGGAGACAAACAUUACUGUUGCUUUGUUUGUAUACACUUCUCAAUUAUGGGGUUUGCAUCUGAAUGUUGGAUAAAAUAAAUGAUUGAGUAUGUGAUGUUAGCCUUCUAGUCAUAUAAAGUUUUAACUAGUUACACCGGCGCCAUGGAACGCCCCCUUUUCUACUUAAAGUAUAAAACCCACUUCCGACAAAAUUUACAUUAGACCAAAACAUGCCGGGUGAUGCUGGUGUGUGAAGUGGUUCAAACUUACAACUCUACCAAAGGUCAAGACCAGAAAAAAUGGAAGCUGACACUACAUGUUGAAAUGGUUGGCAAAUCUGUCAAAUGACAAGACCAGAGAAUGUGGAGAUCAUUCCCACGUUGAAAUGGCUAAGAAAUCUACAAACUAAAGAACAAUUAUUCAGGCUGCAGCUGUUUAAGUACUUUAGUCUGGUAAACGCAACUGGUCAAAUGACCGAAUGACGUAUUCAUUAUAAAAAGCUACAAGUUCGAAAGACUUUGAUCUCUGGUGGACAAACCAGAGACUUUCUGUUGACAAUCUAUCCAGCAGAUGGACAGGCGAUCGCAGAGAGGGACAACAAAGGCAUACACUCACAAACAUGUGAGCAGUUGUGUAAUGGGUGCGUGCUGGUGGCAGUGAAGUCAGGCGCAGGAGAACGAACUUGGUAUAAAUGGAGUUGUGUAAUAAGUGCUCACAAAACUCCAAAACCCAAAAUAUACAAAAUAAUAUAAGUGGGUACAAAACCCGUCGCACACCAGAACAGAACAUAACAUGCACAUAACAUACAAUCAAAACAGAGGGUGAAAUACAGAGGGUGAAAUACACAUCAUGUAAUUGAUGAGAUUGGAACCAGGUGUGAAGGAAGACCAGACAAAACCAAUGGAAGAAGGAAAAAUGGAUCAGCGAUGGCUAGAAGGUCGGUGACGUCGACCGCCGAACACCGCCCGAACAAGGAGAGGGACCGACUUCGGCGGAAGUCGUGACAGGUUGUUCAUGUUCAAAGUAUCAUUAUUUACAUGAGUGUAGUAUAUGUAUGUGUGUCCACUCUGAGUUUCCUGCUCUUGAGCUGGCCCCACCCCUUUCCUUUGUCUACCAAGUCUUCAUAUCAGCUUAGCCCACUAGGGACUUUUCAGUGUGUCAUGUCAGUAACCAAUGUAUAACUAUUCUGUGUGUGUUUAUGUAAAUCUGUGAUUGAUUAGUUAGUCAGUAAAUAAAUAUUUAAGCCAAUUUGUACAUUGCAUGAUUUAUGUUAGGGUUCGUGCAGAUAUCCAACGGUUUGCGACGUUCAGGAAUGAGAUUGAUGAGGUAAUAAUACAUUAAUAGAAGGCUGUAAUCGAUAAGAUAUGAAAAUAUCUGAAGAGUUCAUUCAGGAUAUAGAGACUAUAUAGACAUUUUCCCGUGGUGCCCUGACUUCCCAGUUAAUUAAAGUUACAUGAUUAGUUUAAUCACGUAAGGCAUAAUUACACAUAGAGAAUUGAUUUGAAAAUAUAAGUCUUCACAUUUAAUGAUAGAAACGCUAUGACACCUGCCUGUUGGAUCCGUGACAGAUUGGUCUCGCUUCUUCGACACUCUCUGACAGGAGCUUUAAAUCCAGAGAUAUACCUCUGGUUCCCUGUCAGGUCACGCUUGCUUUAGAUCC